rnacentral:rRNA from 1 species
GUCCACGCCGUAACGAUGGAUACUAGCUGUUCGGAGCAAUCUGAGUGGCUAAGCGAAGUGAUAAGUAUCCCACCUGGGAGUACGUUCGCAAGAAUGAACUCAAAGGAAUUGACGGGCCCGCACAAGCGGUGGAGCAUGUGGUUAAUUCGAUGAUACGCGAGGAACCUUACCAAGGCUUAAAUGGGAAACGACAGGUUUGGAAACAGACUUUUCUUCGGACGUUUUCAAGGUGCUGCAUGGUUGUCGU